UGGGGAAUUUUGGACAAUGGGCGAAAGCCUGAUCCAGCAAUGCCGCGUGUGUGAAGAAGGCCUUCGGGUUGUAAAGCACUUUUGUCCGGAAAGAAAUCCUUGGCUCUAAUACAGUCGGGGGAUGACGGUACCGGAAGAAUAAGCACCGGCUAACUACGUGCCAGCAGCCGCGGUAAUACGUAGGGUGCAAGCGUUAAUCGGAAUUACUGGGCGUAAAAGCGUGCGCAGGCGGUUUGCUAAGACCGAUGUGAAAAUCCCCGGGCUCAACCUGGGAACUGCAUUGGUGACUGGCAGGCUAGAGUAUGGCAGAGGGGGGUAGAAUUCCACGUGUAGCAGUGAAAAUGCGUAGAGAUGUGGAGGAAUACCGAUGGCGAAAGGCAGCCCCCUGGGCCAAAUACUGACGCUCAUGCACGAAAAGCGUGGGGAGCAAAACAGGAUUAGAUACCCUGGUAGUCCACGCCCUAAAACGAUGUCAACUAGUUGUUGGGGAUUCAUUUCCUUAGUAAACGUAGCUAAACGCGUGAAGUUGACCGCCUGGGGAGUAACGGUCGCAAAGAUUAAAAACUCAAAAUGAAUUG
rnacentral:rRNA from 1 species